UGUGACCAAUACAAGGGUGAAACUACCAUAUACCUAUCUAAUGAUAUGGUAUACACUCCACUAUACUUCUCUUAUGUCAGCUACUACCAGAUGUGAGGAGGGGGCCUCAUUACUAUAGCGAUAUGAGACCCUAAAAUGAAUAGUUAAGUAUGCUAUGAGGAUUUGUUGAAUUGUGUAGAAUAAGGACAAAUUCUACCUCUGCUACUGCUUCCUUGACAUCUCUGGGACUAAAUUUGGUGAUGAGUUCGAGGACAGUCUGGGAGCUGAGGGGUUUACCUAUUUAACUAGCAGAUAUUUUAAGUGGUUAGUAAAUAUCAGGCCUAGGCAUUCUGUUGCUUUAUUAUAUGGUAUGGAGUGCAAGGUUGAGCCCUAUCUCCCUUUCCACUUCGCAUGAUAGUUUAGGUACAACCAAUCUUAUAUUGGUAAUCCCAACACCGAGCUGUUGUGCUUGGGGAGUCUGAUAGAUGGAGCCCGCAUUUAUCACUUCAGCACCAAAUGUUUAUUUUGUUAUACAAAAUCCCUAACUAUUAUAUGACUUUAAGGUUUUUAAAUGGUAUAGUAUGAUGAAUGUCACCAACCCGCAGUUUAAGAUCAACAAGUCUGGAGUGAAGUGGAUCAUUCGGAAGUAUGAAGAAGCUUCUAGGAAAGGAUGCAAAAGUAGAGCUACUAGACUCUAUGAAUAUCUUGCGAAGGUAGGGAGAACACUACGACUAUGAUGAUGAUCCGAAUGUACCCGAUGAGAAGUUCCCCCAUGAAUAAUGCAAGCACCAAUGCUUGGAAUCACCGGUAAAGGAGAAAUCUUUUGAAGCUCGAACACACGGACCGGUGGCCGAGUAUAUGGCCGCUUUAGAGAAAGCAUUUACACAGCCCAAUUGAAUGGAUUCAGAUGAGGAGAGGGACGAUUAUGAGAUGAACACUUAUAUUACUAACCCGAUGAAUCCAGUCUUGGAAAUGACACGGCCAGAUCUUCCUACAUCCCAUAUAGUGGACCUGAACCAGAAACCAUUACGACUAUGAUUUCCACGCCUUCCGUUGUUGUUUUGCCUUCGGCUCUUAUUGUGAACUUGAUGAUGCUUGAGUCCUAUAGGGAUGCAAGCACUUCUAAGCUCCCUAAAGAAGAUGAACUGAGGAUCGAGUCUAAACCUGAACCCCAAGUCUGAACCAGAAGCUAUUACGGCUGCGGCUGAGAAGUUGUCCAGAGCUAAAAUUACCCUAUCAGUGAUGAGCCUAUAGUCACAGCUACAAUGACAGCGAGCGUCAUACAGCCUUUUGAGCCAUUAGUUGGACCAACUUAGGAUUCACUGCACUCUCGUUGAUGUUUCAAGUAUGUUGGCUUCACUUGCUUCGUUUUUUAUUCCAGCCAUAGGCCAACUUUUGAUAGAUCCAGUUGCUUUUCCUACCAUAACUGAGGCCUUGACUGUUGUGACUGAGGCGAGCUCAUCAACACAAGUGGUGAUCGAGAAUCCUUCAUCUUUAGAAUCUGAUGAUUUGACUAAGUCAGAGAUCCAGAUUUUGAUUAAGAGCCUGAUGAAGCUCUUUAGUAAGAGUGUUGAGAGGGCUUCGGUUGAUAGUAAGCGUUUAUCCACUCAUAUCAAACACUUGCUUGUAGAUGUUAGCUCGGCAUUCUUGCUUUCAACUACUAGAGCCGA